CUUUAGUUAGAGCUUGUAUCCUGCCUAGCGCUAACCAAUUGCUCACACUCAUUACUGUUACUUGAAGACUCAGCCCCAGCCUGUGCAAAAUGAAUUGGCUCAUGGCCAGCUCUUCCAUGCUUGGGGAAGCAGAGGGUUUCAUGCUGGGCCCCCAAGGGAGAUCCAGGCCCUCUGCAUUCAGACUCUACCACAGCCAAGCCUGUGGGAGAAGUAUGAGACCGGACUUGCCCAGAAAACCAGCCUGUGUCAAAUUCUGAGUCACACCCAGAGAAGGGCUCUCCCUCCACCCGGGUGUGAGGCAACGCUGAGCCCUGCUGCAUUAAGGGGUCCAGCUUUUCUUUGGAGCCAAGACCAGCCCGUUAAGGGACUGCUUCUUCAAGACUUCAAGAUCUACUCAUCUCCUGGCACCUUCAUUAUUGAAUAGAAGCUAGCAGGAAUAGUGAAGCCUCUUCAGAAGUAGAAUGGAUUCUAAUGGAGGAAUGGAGACCACCAUAAGCUCAACCAAGUGGCUGCCCUGAUGACAACUGCAGAUCCAUGUGCACUGUUAUUGUUGGAAUGAAAUCCUACAGCAUCAGACACGUGGCAUGCAACAUGAAAUUGGAGAAUAUGCUCUUGCCUCUUCUGAUCAGAACACAAGUCUUAAUUGAAGUUGUAUGAAAGCACAAUAUUGAGUAACAUUUUUGCCCCAGGAUUGUUUAUUGUUUUCUGUGAUUAUGAAUAAAGCUGCUGUACACAUAUGUAUGCAGGUCUUUCAUGAACCUAAGUUUUUAGAAUCAUUUGUUUAAAUAUCUAGGUGCACUCUUGAUGGAUUAUAAGGUAAGACUAUGUUUAGCUUUGUAAAUG
ensembl:lncRNA